AAAGUCUGACGGAGCAACGCCGCGUGAACGAAGAAGGUCUUCGGAUUGUAAAGUUCUGUGAUUCGGGACGAAAGGGUUUGUGGUGAAUAAUCAUAGACAUUGACGGUACCGAAAAAGCAAGCCACGGCUAACUACGUGCCAGCAGCCGCGGUAAUACGUAGGUGGCAAGCGUUGUCCGGAAUUAUUGGGCGUAAAGCGCGCGCAGGCGGUUUCUUAAGUCCAUCUUAAAAGCGUGGGGCUCAACCCCAUGAGGGGAUGGAAACUGGGAAGCUGGAGUAUCGGAGAGGAAAGUGGAAUUCCUAGUGUAGCGGUGAAAUGCGUAGAGAUUAGGAAGAACACCGGUGGCGAAGGCGACUUUCUAGACGAAAACUGACGCUGAGGCGCGAAAGCGUGGGGAGCAAACAGGAUUAGAUACCCUGGUAGUCCACGCCGUAAACGAUGGAUACUAGGUGUAGGAGGUAUCGACCCCUCCUGUGCCGGAGUUAACGCAAUAAGUAUCCCGCCUGGGAGUACGAUCGCAGAUUAAACUCAAAGGAAUUGACGGGGCCCGCACAAGCAGUGGAGUAUGUGGUUUAAUUCGACGCAACGCGAGAACCU
rnacentral:rRNA from 1 species